rnacentral:misc_RNA from 1 species
AACGCACGAGACCUGCGGACCUGCGGAGGGAUCAUCAAAGAAUUAUUUACACAGAAAAGAUUGGAGUGGAGGGGGGAUUAGAGUGGGGGAUUCGUCUCUUGCUCUCUCUCUCUUUUCCUCUAGUCUUUUCUGAACAAACAAACAUACAUGACUAGGAAAAAUAGAUUGAUUUGGUUGGCAAACAAGACAAGAAGUUCUUGGCUGAUAAGUAGCAUUGAUUUGGAUAAUCAAUACAACUUU